rnacentral:rRNA from 1 species
GGUUUUUAAUUAUAGAGAAUAAAAUCCUUAUAAUAAAACUAAAAGGACGCGGUAACCUUGACCGUGAUAAUGUAGCAUAAUCACUCGCCAUUUAACUGAUGGAUAGUAUGAAUGGUUGAACGAAUAUUUCACUGUCUUAAAAAAACCCAAAUAAAAUUAAAAUAAUAGUUAAGAUGCUAUUUUAAACUGUAAGACGAAAAGACCCUAUAGAGCUUAACUAUAAUCUUUUUUUUUCACCUUAAAAAUAAUAUUUUUAUAAUAAAAAAGAUUGGUAGUUUAGUUGGGGCGACUACCUUCUAUAAAAAACGAAGGUAAGCAAAGUUAAUAAAAAACUUAUUAUAUAAAUAAAACAUUUAAUAAUUACAAAAGUAGGCUAUAAUGACCCGUUAAUAUUAUAUAAAAAAUUUAACGAUUAAUUAAUAAAAGCUACCUUAGGGAUAACAGGAUAAUUUCAUUUUAGAGUUCCUAUCGAAAAUGAAGUUUAUCACCUCUAUGUUGAAUUAA